rnacentral:lncRNA from 1 species
AGAGAGGGUGAGGGAUAUAAAGAAAGUUACAGCGGAAUUAUGUUUGUUGCGUUUCCUCGCUCUAGAGACGAGACAGAGCAUCACAAAGUUGGUCGUUUACCUAACAGGUAUUGCAGGAGAGUUUUACGGAAUAUUAAUUGGAUAAUUUAAUCCAUCCUAAGAGUUUUUCUCCAUGAUUUUUUUAUUUCUUAGUUUUGGCCUAUUAUGAGCAGAAAGUCGACAGGGAUAUAAUAUUACUAAUUUAAUGUGACCAAGUGAGAUUAGCACUCGUAAUGUCUGUAAAAGCUUUAAUACAAAGUUUUAUCUGGUAAAACCAGAUUAUAAAAAAAAAAAACUUUUAAACCUGAAAUCGAAGAAAGCUCACUGGAGAGGGUUUCAUUUUUCAGCUGGUGAUGAAGCGAAGAGUAGAGUCUGGAGACCAAGUGGCAAUUGGUAACAACUUUCGGGAUUAUGAUUUUUGCGGGAAAAAGCCGACACGUGGCGCUGGGUUGUGCAUGUGUUUCUGUAAUGGCAAUGAUGUGGACAAGGUGCGCAGUGCGCACGUUGUAUGUGGUUAAAUGAGUGGGAGUCUUUGCGUUGCUUGCAGAUGUCUGUCCUGUUACCUGUUAACCUGCAGGUUUUGCUUUGCCUUUUACCGAGGUCUUUUGGUGGUCUCCACACACCCCAGUCAAUGCUGAUUGUGAUCCAAAGGACCACCUCUUCUCUUCUCUUCUCCUCUUCUCUUCUCUUCUCUUCUC